rnacentral:rRNA from 1 species
AACCUUUGCAAUGUGCGCAAGCACGACAAGGUUAAUCCGAGUGUUUCCUGCUUAAGGAAUCUUUUGCUAGUCCUAAAAACACUAGUGAAUAAGGGGUGGGCAAGUUCUGGUGUCAGCCGCCGCGGUAAAACCAGCACCUCAAGUGGUCAGGAGGAUUAUUGGGCUUAAAGCAUCCGUAGCUUGCUUUGUAAGUUUCCGGUUAAAUCCAUUAGCUCAACUAAUGGCCUGCCGGAAAUACUGCAGAACUAGGAAGUGGGAGAGGUAGACGGUACUCGGUAGGAAGGGGUAAAAUCCUUUGAUCUAUUGAUGACCACCUGUGGCGAAGGCGGUCUACCAGAACACGUUCGACAGUGAGGGAUGAAAGCUGGGGGAGCAAACCGGAUUAGAUACCCGGGUAGUCCCAGCCGUAAACGAUGCAGACUCGAUGAUGCACUGGCUUGUGGUCAGUGCAGUGUCGCAGGGAAGCCGUUAAGUUUGCCGCCUGGGAAGUACGUACGCAAGU